CGGUGCCCGCCGCUCCUCCUCGGCCCGGCGGCCGCCGCUUAAAGCCUGAGGAGGAUUUAACGGGGGAGGGUCGGGCCACAGCGAGGGCUCGACCGGGGUGGGGGGGGGCUGAGCCGGAGAAAGUUACCGAGGUACUAGUUAUCAUGUGUGAGGGCUGAUUCAUGCCUACAUGGUAAACUGAUCUCUCUUGGCUCAGGAGAAAAUCAUGCCUGAACAGAAAGGUCCCUGCUGAAGUACCUGACAACAUCACUGAUGGUGAAGAGCUAAACUCCAAAAAACAGUUUUACAGAUGGAAAGCUCAUUCUGCGACAAACACUGAUGAUGUCUCUACAUGUGGGAAGAAGUGGUGAAAAUACCAGAAAAAUUUGCCUUUCAGACUGGCCCUUCUGCUUCCAACUUUGAAACUCCCGCUUGUGUGCAGUACUGUGGCACAGUAACAGCUUCAGUCAUAGCUGCAACCCACAGAACAAUACACCAUGAGAGGAAAAACGCAAUUACUUGUGACAACCAGAAAAUGGUCAGCAAGCAAUUAAUCCAGAUUGAAACCCUCUGAAAACUGAAUGAAACCCAUUGCUUCUUUAACUGGAGCAUGUUGUACUCCAUUACAGAAGCUGCCUUAUCUACCACAGGAAUUCAGUUUGCCAGUCCUCUUCAAAAUGAGCCUCCUUUUUGGGACAGGAUUUGGAUGGAUGGAGGUUUGCCUCAGCUUCUCUGCAGGCUCUGACAUGGGCCUGGCAAAUCUACCCGCCCUGAAAGAGCAUAGGACCUCCAGCAGCAUAUGGGACCUCUCUGGUAUGACUUCCAGUGGGACAUUGGGGAUCUCAGCUAUGCACCUCACUUACCAAAGCAUGGCAUGCCUCACAGCCAGUCAUCAGCUAAUGCACACGGUGAUUCAUUGCUGCACCGGGGCAGGAGGAUGGGAGCGGCCACGGUAUUCAUUCCUCCGCCUAUUACUGCGGGAUCUGCACCCCAGCUGCCUGGGAAAGCUUGUGCUGCCAUUUGGAGAAAUGCCAGCAGCAAAUUCAGCAGCAGUGAACAUCAGCUUGGGGAACCAGAGCUGUGCGGUACCCAGCAGAACGACGGCUACAUCAGACACACGCAGAACCAACUAAUUUAGGAACUGACUUCGAGAAAUGCUGCUCUGGACCUGAUGUGCACCUUUCCUGGUCAGAAAAAAGAUCUCCUCAGGCACUCUGCAGUUCUCAGUGCAACACCAGAGCAGAGAAAGUAUUGUAAGCAAGGUGUGGUCGAUUAUCGUGUAAUUCCCUCUUGUGCUAGGUUCAGGGAAAGGGGGCAAUUUUGUACCACUGUCGCAGCCAUUACUAUAUUUAGAGGAUUUUCUUCCAGCUUCUAAACAAUAACAUAAAAGAGUUAAGACCUGUGCUUUCUGGGCCUGCUUGAGAUGGAGAAGUAUCAAAAUACAUCUCUAUCUCAACAAUUGGCUCUGCUAUAAGAAAUACUGCUAGCUCAUCAACCAUAUAAACCAAAGAUUAUUGUAAUUACAGGCCUCCACGUUAACAGAAAAAAAUCCGACUUAAUUCUGACUCCAAGCACAAUAUGUGUAAGAUAACUGUCACUCUUGAGGUCUUCAGGAGACUGUCUUACAGAGCAUUCAAAUGAGAAUAAGCUCUUCCAAGCACAAGUAGUUAAUUUGUUUUCUUACUCCUGUAUCGUACGUUUUGACAUACGUUGUUUUGCAAGGCUCUUUGAAACCAGCGGUUCUGCCAAGCAAGGAGCUAGUGGACGAGAAGUCUUUUCCUUGGGGAAUGGCUGAAAAGACCUGCAUAAGCCUUUGUAAGAGGUUUCCUUCUUUCACUUGUGCCUGCCAAGGCUAUGGCUGCCAAGGCUAUUGCUAAAAAAGGUUUUGAUUCAAGGAUGGAUAACUUGCUUAGCAGACUGACUGAGUGUGCGGGACCUUGGUAAGAUGCUCACCAUACAGACGUUUUGAAGCGUGCGGCUAUCCCCUUGUCUUGUGACUUACUAUUCCCCUCCUGGAGGUCUGCUGUCGAGGACCCAGCAGACAAAACCACAGCCACACAGCGUGUCAACAGCAGAGCAGAGCCAGGCUGUUCCUUCCCUGUCAGUACCCUGUUUGACUUGGGACUUUGUGUAUUUGUCCUUAGAGGACACUGGUGCCCCCGUACCUGCCUGGUGGUUGGUGUUCCCUGGCACAGCCCCAGCGGUCCCAUCGCCCCGAGGAGGUGGGAGGCAGAGGCUCAGCCCUGAUGGCCCCAGUCUGGGUCUGGCCAGUCUGGCACUUGUGCACGACCAGUCUGUCAGCGCAGUGCGAGGGACGCUGCCAAAGCUGUCUCUUACUGCCUUUCAGAAUUCUUCCUCGUGGCUGCAUGGCUAACUGCCACAGAAAGACGCUGCUGAGUUAAAGUACAAACCAGAUUUGUAGCCAAAAAAACAACUCCUGCUCCCUUCCAGCCCCGAAUUAGAAUGACUUCAAAACAAAUAGAGUGACCUCAAAAAACAAAAAUAGAAGUGCUAUUCAGUCACCACCUGCCUUCCUGGAAAAUCCUAUUUCCAUCAUUUGCACCUACUGGCAACCCUACAGGGGCUUUCGGUCAGUGUCCUAAGGCUACGCAGUCCAGCAAGCUAGCCCUGAAAUGGAUAACUUGCUGUCUACAGUGUUUUGUCCCCCAUAUUGAAGUCUACAGGGGUCUGUUACACUCAUUUUCCCCUAUUAAAAAACCAUCCAUCUCCGUGUAAGCUUGGUAGAGUCACAACCUUGACAGGACUUUCUUGUUCUUAAUAGCUUGUUUGUUUACAGUCUUCCUGUGCUCCACAUCUUCCUUUCCCAGUGCAGAACAACUCAGGUCCCAGGAUCUCCUCCAAGAUUUUAUUGCACCAAGGAUGGGAUUUCACCACAGACAUCUGCAUCUCAGCUAAGCCCAAACUCUUCCGUACAGUCAGCAGCACCAAGGGCAAGGUUCACAUACUCCCGAAAAUUCUUCAAACAAGUGCCAUUUUCUUUCCUUUAGCUAUUAAAGGAACCCAGAUGGGGCAGCUUGGGUGUACACAUCUACUUUGCAGAUGUCUGGAAUGAAGAUGAACACCAUCCAAAGUGACUCUGAAUUCUGUACGACCAGGAUUUACCUCCAGAUUAUUUUCUCACUGUUCACACAAAUAAAGGGAAAGCUAAGCCAUGCACCAUCA